UACGUAGGGUGCAAGCGUUGUCCGGAAUUAUUGGGCGUAAAGAGCUCGUAGGCGGUUUGUCGCGUCUGGUGUGAAAAUCCAGGGCUUAACCCUGGACCUGCAUCGGGUACGGGCAGACUAGAGUGCGGUAGGGGAGAUCGGAAUUCCUGGUGUAGCGGUGAAAUGCGCAGAUAUCGGGAGGAACACCGGUGGCGAAGGCGGUUCUCUGGGCCUUACCUGACGCUGAGGAGCGAAAGCGUGGGGAGCGAACAGG
rnacentral:rRNA from 1 species